UGCCAGGUGGUCUAAUGGUAGGACUCAAGGUUCUGGCCCUUGUUAUCUAGGUUCGAAUCCUAGCCUGGCAG
rnacentral:tRNA from 1 species